rnacentral:rRNA from 1 species
CGAAUGCUGACAUAAGUAACGAUAAAGCGGGUGAAAAGCCCGCUCGCCGGAAGACCAAGGGUUCCUGUCCAACGUUAAUCGGGGCAGGGUGAGUCGACCCCUAAGGCGAGGCCGAAAGGCGUAGUCGAUGGGAAACAGGUUAAUAUUCCUGUACUUGGUGUUACUGCGAAGGGGGGACGGAGAAGGCUAUGUUGGCCGGGCGACGGUUGUCCCGGUUUAAGCGUGUAGGCUGGUUUUCCAGGCAAAUCCGGAAAAUCAAGGCUGAGGCGUGAUGACGAGGCACUACGGUGCUGAAGCAACAAAUGCCCUGCUUCCAGGAAAAGCCUCUAAGCAUCAGGUAACAUCAAAUCGUACCCCAAACCGACACAGGUGGUCAGGUAGAGAAUACCAAGGCGCUUGAGAGAACUCGGGUGAAGGAACUAGGCAAAAUGGUGCCGUAACUUCGGGAGAAGGCACGCUGAUAUGUAGGUGAAGUCCCUCGCGGAUGGAGCUGAAAUCAGUCGAAGAUACCAGCUGGCUGCAACUGUUUAUUAAAAACACAGCACUGUGCAAACACGAAAGUGGACGUAUACGGUGUGACGCCUGCCCGGUGCCGGAAGGUUAAUUGAUGGGGUUAGCCGCAAGGCGAAGCUCUUGAUCGAAGCCCCGGUAAACGGCGGCCGUAACUAUAACGGUCCUAAGGUAGCGAAAUUCCUUGUCGGGUAAGUUCCGACCUGCACGAAUGGCGUAAUGAUGGCCAGGCUGUCUCCACCCGAGACUCAGUGAAAUUGAACUCGCUGUGAAGAUGCAGUGUACCCGCGGCAAGACGGAAAGACCCCGUGAACCUUUACUAUAGCUUGACACUGAACAUUGAGCCUUGAUGUGUAGGAUAGGUGGGAGGCUUUGAAGUGUGGACGCCAGUCUGCAUGGAGCCGACCUUGAAAUACCACCCUUUAAUGUUUGAUGUUCUAACGUUGACCCGUAAUCCGGGUUGCGGACAGUGUCUGGUGGGUAGUUUGACUGGGGCGGUCUCCUCCUAAAGAGUAACGGAGGAGCACGAAGGUUGGCUAAUCCUGGUCGGACAUCAGGAGGUUAGUGCAAUGGCAUAAGCCAGCUUGACUGCGAGCGUGACGGCGCGAGCAGGUGCGAAAGCAGGUCAUAGUGAUCCGGUGGUUCUGAAUGGAAGGGCCAUCGCUCAACGGAUAAAAGGUACUCCGGGGAUAACAGGCUGAUACCGCCCAAGAGUUCAUAUCGACGGCGGUGUUUGGCACCUCGAUGUCGGCUCAUCACAUCCUGGGGCUGAAGUAGGUCCCAAGGGUAUGGCUGUUCGCCAUUUAAAGUGGUACGCGAGCUGGGUUUAGAACGUCGUGAGACAGUUCGGUCCCUAUCUGCCGUGGGCGCUGGAGAACUGAGGGGGGCUGCUCCUAGUACGAGAGGACCGGAGUGGACGCAUCACUGGUGUUCGGGUUGUCAUGCCAAUGGCACUGCCCGGUAGCUAAAUGCGGAAGAGAUAAGUGCUGAAAGCAUCUAAGCACGAAACUUGCC